AUAGUAUUCCCUCCGUUCCGAAUUACUUGUCGCACGGAUGGAUGUAUCUAGAUGUAUUUUAGUUUUAGAUACAUUCAUUUCAGCGACGAGUACUUUGGAACGGAGGAAGUAGUUA
rfam:Triticum aestivum genome assembly, contig: Triticum_aestivum_CS42_TGACv1_scaffold_095802_2AL